AAUGGGCGAAAGCCUGAUCCAGCAAUGCCGCGUGAGUGAUGAAGGCCUUAGGGUUGUAAAGCUCUUUUACCAGGGAUGAUAAUGACAGUACCUGGGGAAUAAGCUCCGGCUAACUCCGUGCCAGCAGCCGCGGUAAUACGGAGGGAGCUAGCGUUGUUCGGAAUUACUGGGCGUAAAGCGCGCGUAGGCGGUUUUUCAAGUCAGAGGUGAAAGCCCGGGGCUCAACCCCGGAACUGCCUUUGAAACUGGAUGACUAGAAUCUUGGAGAGGCGAGUGGAAUUCCGAGUGUAGAGGUGAAAUUCGUAGAUAUUCGGAAGAACACCAGUGGCGAAGGCGACUCGCUGGACAAGUAUUGACGCUGAGGUGCGAAAGUGUGGGGAGCAAACAGGAUU
rnacentral:rRNA from 1 species